AAAAAGAUAAGCUAAUAAAGCUAAUAGGUUCAUACCCUAUAAAUAGGAAACGAUCUCCUUCUUUUUA
rnacentral:tRNA from 1 species